rnacentral:rRNA from 1 species
CAGAGGGUGCAAGCGUUGUUCGGAAUUACUGGGCGUAAAGCGCGUGUAGGCGGUCUGGCAAGUCGGUCGUGAAGCCCUUGGCUUAACCAAGGAACUGCGAUCGAAACUACGAGACUAGAGUAUCGGAGGGGGUGGCGGAAUUCCCGGGUGUAGAGGUGAAAUUCGUAGAUAUCGGGAGGAACACCUGUGGCGAAGGCGGCCACCUGGAAGAUUACUGACGCUGAGACGCGAAAGCGUGGGGAGCAAACAGGAUUAGAUACCCUGGUAGUCCACGCCGUAAACGAUGAGUGCUAGGUGUUGCGGGUAUUGACCCCUGCAGUGCCAAAGCUAACGCGUUAAGCACUCCGCCUGGGGAGUACGGUCGCAAGAUUA